rnacentral:rRNA from 1 species
UACGUAGGGUGCGAGCGUUGUCCGGAAUUACUGGGCGUAAAGAGCUCGUAGGUGGUUUGUCGCGUUGUUCGUGAAAACCGGGGGCUUAACCCUCGGCGUGCGGGCGAUACGGGCAGACUGGAGUACUGCAGGGGAGACUGGAAUUCCUGGUGUAGCCGGUGGAAUGCGCAGAUAUCAGGAGGAACACCGGUGGCGAAGGCGGGUCUCUGGGCAGUAACUGACGCUGAGGAGCGAAAGCGUGGGGAGCGAACAGG